rnacentral:rRNA from 1 species
UGGGGAAUAUUGCACAAUGGGGGGAACCCUGAUGCAGCGACGCCGCGUGAGGGAAGAAGGUUUUCGGAUUGUAAACCUCUGUCCUCUGUGACGAUACUGACGGUAGCAGAGGAGGAAGCCACGGCUAAACACGUGCCAGCAGACGCGGUAAUACGUAGGUGGCGAGCGUUAUCCGGAAUUACUGGGUGUAAAGGGAGCGUAGGCGGGGGAACAAGUUGAAUGUGUAAGAUAUGGGCUCAACCCAUAUAAGCGUUCAAAACUGUUUUUCUUGAGUGAAGUAGAGGUAAGCGGAAUUCCUAGUGUAGCGGUGGAAUGCGUAAAUAUUAGGAGGAACACCAGUGGCGAAGGCGGCUUACUGGGCUUUAACUGACGCUGAGGCUCGAAAGCGUGGGUAGCAAACAGGA